rnacentral:rRNA from 1 species
AGGCAGCAGUGGGGAAUAUUGCACAAUGGGGGAAACCCUGAUGCAGCCAUGCCGCGUGUGUGAAGAAGGCCUUGGGUUGUAAAGCACUUUCAGUAGGAGGAAGGUAGUGUAGUUAACACCUGCACUAUUUGACGUUACCUACAGAAGAAGCACCGGCUAACUCCGUGCCAGCAGCCGCGGUAAUACGGAGGGUGCGAGCGUUAAUCGGAAUUACUGGGCGUAAAGCGCAUGCAGGCGGCCUGUUAAGUCAGAUGUGAAAGCCCGGGGCUUAACCUCGGAAUUGCAUUUGAAACUGGCAGGCUAGAGUCUUGUAGAGGGGGUAGAAUUUCAGGUGUAGCGGUGAAAUGCGUAGAGAUCUGAAGGAAUACCAGUGGCGAAGGCGGCCCCCUGGACAAAGACUGACGCUCAGAUGCGAAAGCGUGGGGAGCAAACAGGAUUAGAUACCCUGGUAG